rnacentral:lncRNA from 1 species
GGCUGAGAUGCUUUCACUUUCAUUCUAAGGCAGUGAGACGACUGAGAAAACCUUCCAAAUGUCUUUUUCAUCAGCUUUCUACGUUGUCUUUGGAUUUAGAUUAUUGAUUCUUGUUGAUGAGGCCACCUUAAAUGAAACAAAGAUCUUUUGCGUUGCCUGCAAAGAGGAAGGAUGUCCGGAAAAAUUAACAAAAAUCUACAACACAAGCGAAAACACCCCUUUCUGGGUAAACGAAUCUGAGAUUCAAAGCUGUGCGGACACUUCCCUCAAAGUAUACACCCCAUGCGUGCAUAACCUAACUGUAUUUCUGCCAACUGAAAACAAUGCAGACAAGUUUCAUUUUGAAGGAGGAGGCAUCCCACUGAAAUCAGAUUAUGAACCCUGCCCACCUUUGCCACAGGAGGGUGAUAUUUCAUCUAAGCAGAGUGGAACCCAAAAUGCCAGUGAAUCCAUCAAUUAUCAUUUUGGACUUGUAAUCGCACUUAUAAGUUGUGUUGCAGUGGCUGUAAUAACGUGUAUCUAUUUCUGGUAUGUAUAUCAAUACCUUUCUAAUGAUAAUAAUGCAGGUAACACAACCAAUUAAUUUUUGUAUAGGAAACCAAAAUGACAAAAAUGUUAGAUCCUAAUUUUCAUUUUCUAUUAGCAGAGAUUGUGUACUCAUUUAUACUGUAUGAACAUAAUGGUUUUUAUUCCUUUUAUUUUUGAGUUUGGAAAACGGAGAAAGUCUCACAACCCCUGGGGAUGCCUAAUGCCUAAUGUUCACCAGAGGCACCACCUGUGCAUCACGUAACUAAUCCAGUAGACCUGUUUUCAAUUACCCUCAUCACCAGCCCCCCAGUCCUAUAAAAGGGGUGGGGUUGCACAGUGCACCGGUAUCUAUGUGCUGUUGUGGAGAUCAUUGUACUUCAUGGCUGUGUCUGGAUGUUACAGAAGAACCUACCAACUGAAAUGACAUCAGCAGAGUCACAUGAACUCAUGGAUGUGGUGGAUGCUAUUGGUGAACAACUGAAUUCACACUGCAAAUACCUUCAAAACUUAGUUGACUGUGGCACACUAUUUUAAUAAAAUCUUUUUUUGUUACA